GUCCAGCAAAACAAUAUCUGUAAAGUAGAACGCUGAGAGAGGAGCUUGCUCUUCUUGGAUGAGUUGCGAACGGGUGAGUAACGCGUAGGUAACCUGCCUUGUAGCGGGGGAUAACUAUUGGAAACGAUAGCUAAUACCGCAUAACAAUGGAUGACACAUGUCAUUUAUUUGAAAGGGGCAAUUGCUCCACUACAAGAUGGACCUGCGUUGUAUUAGCUAGUAGGUGAGGUAAUGGCUCACCUAGGCGACGAUACAUAGCCGACCUGAGAGGGUGAUCGGCCACACUGGGACUGAGACACGGCCCAGACUCCUACGGGAGGCAGCAGUAGGGAAUCUUCGGCAAUGGGGGCAACCCUGACCGAGCAACGCCGCGUGAGUGAAGAAGGUUUUCGGAUCGUAAAGCUCUGUUGUAAGUCAAGAACGGGUGUGAGAGUGGAAAGUUCACACUGUGACGGUAGCUUACCAGAAAGGGACGGCUAACUACGUGCCAGCAGCCGCGGUAAUACGUAGGUCCCGAGCGUUGUCCGGAUUUAUUGGGCGUAAAGCGAGCGCAGGCGGUUUGAUAAGUCUGAAGUUAAAGGCUGUGGCUCAACCAUAGUUCGCUUUGGAAACUGUCAAACUUGAGUGCAGAAGGGGAGAGUGGAAUUUCCAUGUGUAGCGGUGAAAUGCGUAGAUAUAUGGAGGAACACCGGUGGCGAAAGCGGCUCUCUGGUCUGUAACUGACGCUGAGGCUCGAAAGCGUGGGGAGCGAACAGGAUUAGAUACCCUGGUAGUCCACGCCGUAAACGAUGAGUGCUAGGUGUUGGAUCCUUUCCGGGAUUCAGUGCCGCAGCUAACGCAUUAAGCACUCCGCCUGGGGAGUACGACCGCAAGGUUGAAACUCAAAGGAAUUGACGGGGGCCCGCACAAGCGGUGGAGCAUGUGGUUUAAUUCGAAGCAACGCGAAGAACCUUACCAGGUCUUGACAUCCCGAUGCUAUUUCUAGAGAUAGAAAGUUACUUCGGUACAUCGGUGACAGGUGGUGCAUGGUUGUCGUCAGCUCGUGUCGUGAGAUGUUGGGUUAAGUCCCGCAACGAGCGCAACCCCUAUUGUUAGUUGCCAUCAUUCAGUUGGGCACUCUAGCGAGACUGCCGGUAAUAAACCGGAGGAAGGUGGGGAUGACGUCAAAUCAUCAUGCCCCUUAUGACCUGGGCUACACACGUGCUACAAUGGUUGGUACAACGAGUUGCGAGUCGGUGACGGCGAGCUAAUCUCUUAAAGCCAAUCUCAGUUCGGAUUGUAGGCUGCAACUCGCCUACAUGAAGUCGGAAUCGCUAGUAAUCGCGGAUCAGCACGCCGCGGUGAAUACGUUCCCGGGCCUUGUACACACCGCCCGUCACACCACGAGAGUGUUUAGGUACCCAGGAGCCCGCCCUAAGGUAGACAGAUGACUGGAGUAGACGCAUAAGAUUUCU
rnacentral:rRNA from 1 species